rnacentral:lncRNA from 1 species
GUCCAACAUGGACAGUUGUGCAGGUUGGACUUUGUACGAGCUUGUCUGGCAGGGAUACAUGGGAUUAAUAUCCAGCCCAGACCUUGCAGGCAAAGAGAUAUCCAGGCCCUUCAGCUGAUGCACACAGGAUGGCGCCCUGGCCUUCACUGCUCCUGUUCUGCUCUUUGGGCCCAGUUCUGACUUGACUGUGACAAUCUGAAAAGGAAUCAAACUCAGAUACCUGCACUUGCCAGGCAGGCACGGUGCCACUGAGCUAAAUUCCUGGCUGACAAGAGGGGAAAUAAACUUCUGAGCCUCUACCCUGACAGACAAUGCUAAGGACUGUGAUGGAAUAGUGUCUAAAGGAAUAUGCGACACCAGGAAGUACUCAGUCACUUCCCCAGUUUGCCUCAGUUUCCUCAUCCAUCAAAUGAGGGAAAUUAGUUGCUUCCUGUCACGAGAUGAUUCCGGUGAGCUUGGUGGAAGUUUCAGUUCUCUGCCAGUCUUCCAUUUCCUUACCUGCCUUCCUGGUAAGAACUUAAUCGGCUGUGCUCCCUUUGUGCCUCUGUCCCCACAACUCAGCAUAGCAUUCGUGCCCAGUCAAUAUCUGCUGAGCAAGCGGAAGAGAGAAUUUAUUACCUACUUAUGUCCCCCAGAACCCAGGGAGGUACACUUACUUGAUAGAAGGGGAAGACACUGUGUACAGAGUUCAAUGAGCUUCCUAGUGGCCCGUGACCAGGACAGACAUCUUCAGACCUGCUGUGAUGACCUUUCUGCUAGAUUCCACAACGCAGGCCAUUCUGGCUUGGGUGGGGUGGCACUGUACUGCUGGAUGUGAUUCACCUUCCCCAGAGGUCCUUGAUCCAACCCAGUGUCUCUCACACUGAGUCACAGCAGAGCUGUCCUGUUGGACAGGCAAGCCCAGGGAUCUCUUAGGCUAGCCAGGACACUGCCUGGGAAAUCCCUUGUGGGAGAGGGCAUGGGAGUGCAUGCAGGGAAUCACGGCCCAUCCACUCCCCUCUCCCACGAGGGUGUCCAAAGGACAACACCUACCCAGUCACUGUGCCUGAGGGCUCUAGCUCAGCGGCACCCCUUCUGCGUUCCCACUGUGGACACCUGAACUCCUGCCCUCAUCACCAAGAUUGACUGGGCUUACAACCUCCGGUUUAUGAACCUCCCUUCUGAGCAAGUUGAAUAGCUUUCCAGGCACACAUUCCAUCUGUUUACUCAACAGAAGUUGCUGGGCACCAGUGUGAUGCCAAUUUGUGGGCAACAGAGGCAGGCAUCGUGCUAGAAGGAGAGAUCACUGAGUGAGACAGGGGCCAGCAAGACAGAAGGGGCCAGGGUUGCUGUAUUGCCAGCUCCUCUCAUGGAAACUAGUGGGGUCCCCGAUCUCCUCCAAUAGCAGCACCCCCAAUGACCUAAACACUUGAUCUGACUGAUCAGGGUACACACUAUCUCUCAGUUACCACCUGGGGACCAAACUUCUCACACAGGAAAGCUGGGGUAUGGGGACAUCUCCAGACCAUAGCAGUGUAGUAUGGGGAUUUUGGUCAGCUGUGUGUAACAGAAAACUCACCCUGAUCAUGAGGUUGAAGAAGCCCAGAGAGAGGUAGCUGGGACUGAGCUGACACUCUAUGGUGGCAGAGGCCAAGGCACCUUCUGACUUGUUGCCCUGCCAUUCUCAGCACAUAUGUUCCACCUCCAGCUCCACCCAGCAAGGAGGAAGAGCAGGAUACAAGGCCUUGCACGGUGCUUGCACACACCACUUCUGCCAGCAUCCCAAGGACAAGAACUCAGGUCCACAGCAGCAUCUGGCUGCAGUGGAGGCCAAGCACUGCCCACUUCGUUUCCAGCAGCCAUGCGCGCAGCAGAAAAUCGGAGGUGUUUCCAUUAAGAGGCCACAGUUUGUGAAAGAUGAAGAAAGAAAGAAAGAAAGAAAGAAAGAAAGAAAGAAGGAAGGAAGAGAGAAAGUGGACUGAGUACCAGUGGUGUCCUCAGCACUCUGCUAGGCACAGUUGCAUGGGUUACCACUUUUACAGUCAACACAGCAGGGAAGAGCUGCAUCUGCCCGAGUCGCCAGCACCAUCUUCAGUGACGUCAUCACGUAACAGCAAGGAUGUCUCCUAAAGAGAGAAGGCCCACCAGUGGAGCUCCGUAAGCAGACUCCAGAUAACAGCAAUGGGGAACCAGCAUGGAGUGGUCAUCAGGCAUUGUCACCCACAGUUCUAUCCAAACCUGGGACUCGAUGUGUCCAAAUCAUACCAUUCUAGAACUGUACAGCAGCCUUCCCCUCAUCAAAAUGUCAGCACAUGUAGCACAUUAUGCCAGCAGGAAUGACAGCAUGCAAUUAUGCUGAGGUCAGACUGCCAUGAACGAAAUUGGGCUCCAUUACUACCAAUCAUACUAUAUGCCUAUUUCCUCAUCUGUAAGGUAGGAGUAGCAAUAGAUGUACUCAUUCUAAAAUCCAGUUACAGUGUUUCAAUACCAUCUGGACCAUAGUAAGUGCUCAUUAAAUGUUAGCAUUUAUUCAGUUCAAUCAACUCUUACAUACUGUGCCACCCGGGACCCAUGCGUAUCUGUUUGGCCCACUCUCACACACAAAAUCAGACUAAUUCCAUCUAGAAAGAGUGGGCUUAGGCCUUGGAGACUGAGCUACUCUAAUGGGGGUACAGCAGCACCAGCCAAACUGGCCCCCUUUCUGCUCCAUGAGUUGGCCCGUCCACCUUGGCCAAUGUGCAAAAAUGUUUGUGGCGAACUCAUUUGUUUUCCUUUCUGUUAGGUCGGCCUUCCAAAGGCAAAGAACUGUUGAAAUUAACCCAAGGCAGGGGCCAGUGGAGCAGACGGGGUCUGGGCUAGAGCCAGGCGUAAUGAAGUGGAAAAUGUUCACACCACAGGCAGCAUUACAAUGCACCUGUACAAACAGAACUCAGCCUGCCAUCCCUUCCUUCGGGGCCCAGCUGCCUCUCGGACUACUCUUUUAUGGCUUCACUCCUGGCCAUGCCUGGUCAACGUCAAGGUCUCUAAUGAAGAUAAGAGACAAAGGCCUCCAGAGAAGAGCUGGUAGAGAUGGAACAGAAGAGACGAAAAUGAGCAAAGGUACGCUCAGCACAGACAUCUCCUGAAAGUUCUGGGGAGUUCUCUGAAGACCAUGUUACCUAAAACAGGGAAGAACUACAGCACAGCUCAUGAAGAUUGAAGUUACGUGGCAAGAUUGAGGUAGAAAACUUUCACAUUGCUUGGCUCACUUCCCACACCCAUAUGAUCAGGCUCCAUUCUGCAGACAAGGAAACUGAGGCCCAGGGAGACAAAGCCAGCAGGUGACCAUGUCAAGAUUCAAGCCCAGGAACCAUGAUUUGUCUUCUGUACUCAGACCAGUGUUGAGUGAUGUUCUCAAAGCCACGCAGCUAUCAAGUGGGAAGCUGGAAGUCCUGGUGUGGUGGUUACUGCUCCACUAGGCAGCAGGAAGAGAACUUGGGGACAUCAAGGCCAGGCUGUCCUGAAGACUAGGCCAGUGAAGACAAGGGGCCUGGGUUUCCCCAGAGCAAGGCCUGUGGACCACAGUGCUACCAUGAGGGAAGAUGGGGAAAAGACAAACCAUAGUUCUUGACAUAGUGUGGCUCUACGUCUCCCAAUUUCACAAGGGCUCAGUUUGUCCCUUCCUGAGAUGGACCUUCCAUGGGCACUAAAUAGAAGGACUUUGUAAGGCACUUCCAAGGUCUAUUGCUCUUCACUCCUCUCAGACUCAACCUUAAGUCACACCCAACUCUAAUUGUCAUAACCAGAAGCUUUCUUACCACCAUGGGGGGCGGAGGGACAAAGGUCAAAAGUAGACAUCAUUACAACUGCCACAUACCUGGCCCUCACCUCUCAUUGCCAUCUUCUUAAACAUCAGUGGUUAGGGGCAUAAAGAGAGGGAAUGGAGAUAGUUACUCCCCACAGGGAGUCUGACAUAUAGCAGGCCCUCAGUGAUCACUAACACCUUUGACAAGCUAUGGGUUCUUUGCAGAUCAGAACCUGCUGCUUUAUAGCAUCCAAUCAUAGUGUCAUGCAGCCUGCAGUAACUGCCUAGUGAAUGCCUGUCUGUUGAGUGCAGGAGCUUUUCCGUCGCUCCCAUCCUCCUGGUUUAGGCAACAUCCAGGACUGUGUUUGGGCCUUUCUAAAUGCCCUGGGGCCAGUUUGACGCACAUCUCCCGGGGUGCCUCAUGGCUUCUCAGAGUUCAACCUCACCUAAUUCAAACUUAGCAGUAAGCUAUGUUUGCCAUUCUUCAUGGUUGAUGUUUAUAUGGCUGCUCUGAACUUUUAUAAUUAUUACUGUUUAAUUUAAAAAGAAGUUUAAAUUUUGCAAUGUACAAAAAAGUCAAGAUUGCCAUGUUUUGGUAAAAUGCUUCAUUCUUCAGUUUUCCCCAUUCGAUACACUUUCUCUGGUCCCUAUGUGGUAGGCAGCAUAAGGACCUCACUGUCCCUGGAGAAACAGACAUUGAAAUAAGCACAUUUAAUACAUUAUGAUUCCUGAAAUACUGAAAACUGCAGAGAGAAACUAGUUACAAGUGUGGAGAGUUAGCCUCCAUUUUGUCUUGAAAAGUGUUUAUCUAAGCCGGUAAUGCCAUAUACCAUAUGGCCCUAACUGCAUCAAGUGGCCUCCAUCUUCAGGGCUGAGGAGAUCCAAAGACAUGGCCUGUUUUCUUCCUGCAUCUUGAGGGAAUAAACAGAUGAGUACAGUUUAGGGCAAGAUUUCCCAAGUCAAUUCUACUACCUUAUGGGCAGGGCCAUGUUGGAAUAAGUCAAGGUUCUAGUAGAAAAUUAACGCCAGAAGAUCAGGAGGAUACCACAGGAUGAAAGAAAAGAAUCUCUCUCUCUCUCUCUCUCUCUCUCUCUCUCUCUCUCUCUGCAGAUUUCCCUCAUCUUUGUGAUUCUUACUGAAACCUGGAAGUAACUCUUUCAAGAAAGAGUUUAAGUGAUUUCAAGAGCACCCAGCCAGGGCAGGUGUUUCCCGUGGCUAGGAGGACACUCCUACUCCUUCAUGCUCCUGCUUGAGCAUCCCUUCUCUAAUUUACUGUGAGGCUCUUGACCACAGUAGCACUUCCUAUGACCAUCCUCUAGUGGCAGCAAGUUUCACAAGACAUAUGAUAUGUCGUCUUCAACCUUAUAGUUCUAGUAGGCGAGUGUCCUGACCAGCCCAAAGUAAGUGCUUCAUAAGUAUUUGUCAUCUGAAUAGAUGACUGAGUGGAUGAAUAAUGCCACGUUCAUUUACAAGCGCACUGUGGUUUUAUCUUUCUCGGAAAUAUUAUAACCCACUUGCUCCUAAACAGAUUUUUCAAAAUCACAUUCUAUGAAAUGUUACCAAUUCAUGAGAUAAUUUUACUGAACUAAUAAAAAGUUAAAAAAUAAGAAAUAGGGAUUCUUUUUGUUUUCAAACAAAAUUUAUCACAUAUACAUAAGAAGAGUUCAUUACCGUCACAGUG